GGGAAUGUGGCUUAGUGGUAGAGUGCUUGUCUAGCAUGCAUGAAGCCCCGGGUUCAAUUCCUCAGUACCA
rnacentral:tRNA from 1 species